rnacentral:rRNA from 1 species
GAUGAACGCUGGCGGCGUGCUUAACACAUGCAAGUCGAACGAUGAGGCCCAGCUUGCUGGGUGGAUUAGUGGCGAACGGGUGAGUAACACGUGAGUAACCUGCCCUUAACUCUGGGAUAAGCCUGGGAAACUGGGUCUAAUACCGGAUAGGAGCGUCCACCGCAUGGUGGGUGUUGGAAAGAUUUAUCGGUUUUGGCUGGACUCGCGGCCUAUCAGCUUGUUGGUGAGGUAAUGGCUCACCAAGGCGACGACGGGUAGCCGGCCUGAGAGGGUGACCGGCCACACUGGGACUGAGACACGGCCCAGACUCCUACGGGAGGCAGCAGUGGGGAAUAUUGCACAAUGGGCGCAAGCCUGAUGCAGCGACGCCGCGUGAGGGAUGACGGCCUUCGGGUUGUAAACCUCUUUCAGUAGGGAAGAAGCGAAAGUGACGGUACCUGCAGAAGAAGCACCGGCUAACUACGUG